GCUGGACUGAGGGAAGAGAAGGAAACAAGAGAAAAACAUGGAGGUUCUGGAGCAUGAGGAUUAGCGAGAGAGAAGCCAAGCAAAGAAGCAAGACACACAGGUGCAGCUAGGCAUGCACUGCCUCGAAUGGCCAGCCAGGGCAGAAGCUGCUGCCUGCCUGUUUUAAGGUUUAGAAGUUUGUCCCAGUGAGGAUCCUGUAGAAAGGGAAGGUGUGGAGUCAGAAAGGAAAAGGAGAAAAUGGUCUUCACCAUGGUAAAGCUUGUGUUUCUGGAUACAGUUCGAGUUUCUGAAUGCAGAUGGAGAGGCAAGAUGCUGCAGGAGGGAGAGCUGAUUCAAAGCAAUAUUGAAGAACCAGAAUUCAGCGCCACAGACCAUUUUGCAUUUCAGCACUGGUUGAGUGUCUACGUGAUUGAUAGAUGUUGAGAUUGUGGAAAGAUGAUGGCAGCAUGGCAUCCAAAACUUAGAAGCAUCAAUGGCCAACACAUUCAGGAUCAGCUUUGUGAGCUUUCAACCGAACUCCGACCAACCAAUUCAGGGACAACUUCAGGAACAAUUGAGCAACAACCUUCAAGCCGGCUUGGCAACAGCCCUGGAGCAAUCGAGGUAGAGGCACUUCCAGAAACCAGAUACUGUCAUUUUGGAUGAUGUAGAGUAAUGGCUAAAGGCAGGGGGCCAACCCUAGAUUACCUUCAGGCACUUUCCAGCCACAAGCUAGAAUACCUUGUACUAAUUAAAGCAAGAACACAUACUAAAAACUU